GAUGAACGCUGGCGGCGUGCUUAACACAUGCAAGUCGAACGAGAAAUGUAGACGGAAACCUUCGGGCGGAAGCCUUCAUUUCGAGUGGCGGACGGGUGAGUAACGCGUGGGUAACCUGCCUCAUACAGGGGGAUAACAGUUGGAAACGACUGUUAAUACCGCAUAAGACCACAGCAUCGCAUGAUGCGGGGGUAAAAACUCCGGUGGUAUGAGAUGGACCCGCGUUCGAUUAGCCAGUUGGCGGGGUAACGGCCCACCAAAGCGACGAUCGAUAGCCGAUCUGAGAGGAUGACCGGCCACAUUGGGACUGAGACACGGCCCAAACUCCUACGGGAGGCAGCAGUGGGGAAUAUUGCACAAUGGGGGAAACACUGAUGCAGCGACGCCGCGUGAGUGAAGAAGUACUUCGGUAUGUAAAGCUCUAUCAGCAGGGAAGAAAAUGACGGUACCUGAGUAAGAAGCCCCGGCUAACUACGUG
rnacentral:rRNA from 1 species